rnacentral:rRNA from 1 species
UAGCGGCGGACGGGUGAGUAACACGUGGGUAACCUGCCCAUAAGACUGGGAUAACUCCGGGAAACCGGGGCUAAUACCGGAUAACAUUUUGAACCGCAUGGUUCGAAAUUGAAAGGCGGCUUCGGCUGUCACUUAUGGAUGGACCCGCGUCGCAUUAGCUAGUUGGUGAGGUAACGGCUCACCAAGGCAACGAUGCGUAGCCGACCUGAGAGGGUGAUCGGCCACACUGGGACUGAGACACGGCCCAGACUCCUACGGGAGGCAGC